rnacentral:rRNA from 1 species
UGCCUCAGCCAUAUCACCCUGCAGCCGAAGACUGAUUACUCACUGAAGCUAAGCAGGGCUGACCCUGGUCAGUACCUGAAUGGGAGACCACAUUGGAAAACUUGGUUGUUGUUGGAA